rnacentral:rRNA from 1 species
UACGUAGGGGGCAAGCGUUGUCCGGAAUUAUUGGGCGUAAAGCGCGCGCAGGCGGUUUUUAAGUCUGGUGUAUAAGUGCGGGCUCAACCCCGUGAGGCACUGGAACUGGGAACUGGAGUGCAGAAGAGGAGAGCGGAAUUCCACGUGUAGCGGUGAAAUGCGUAGAGAUGUGGAGGAACACCAGUGGCGAAGGCGGCUCUCUGGCCUGUAACUGACGCUGAGGCGCGAAGCGUGGGAGCAACAGG